rnacentral:rRNA from 1 species
UAGAGUUUGUAUCCUGGCUCAGAAUGAACGCUGGCGGCGUGCCUAACACAUGCAAGUCGUACGAGAAAGACUGUUUUCGGAUGGUCGAGUAAAGUGGCGCACGGGUGAGUAACGCGUAGGUAACCUACCCUUGUAUUGGGGAUAACAGGACGAAAGUUCUGCUAAUACCGGAUGUGACCUGGGGCUGGAGGGUUUCAGGUUAAAGUGGGCCUCUCGAAGAAGCUCAUGUACAGGGAUGGGCCUGCGUCCUAUCAGCUUGUUGGUGGGGUAAUGGCCUACCAAGGCGACGACGGGUAGCUGGUCUGAGAGGAUGAUCAGCCACACUGGCACUGGAACACGGGCCAGACUCCUACGGGAGGCAGCAGUGAGGAAUUUUGCGCAAUGGGAGCAAUCCUGACGCAGCAACGCCGCGUGGGUGAAGAAGGCCUUCGGGUCGUAAAGCCCUGUCAGGUGGGAAGAAGGGUCCUAUCAGGAAAGGGGUGGGAUUUGACGGUACCACCAGAGGAAGCACCGGCUAACUCCGUGCCAGCAGCCGCGGUAAUACGGAGGGUGCGAGCGUUAUUCGGAAUUACUGGGCGUAAAGCGCGUGUAGGCGGGGGAGCAAGUCUGAUGUGAAAGCCCCGGGCUUAACCCGGGAAGUGCAUUGGAAACUGUUUUUCUUGAGUACUGGAGAGGAAGGGGGAAUUCCCGGUGUAGAGGUGAAAUUCGUAGAGAUCGGGAGGAAUACCAGUGGCGAAGGCGCCCUUCUGGACGGUUACUGACGCUGAGACGCGAAAGCGUGGGGAGCAAACAGGGUUAGAUACCCUGGUAGUCCACGCUGUAAA